rnacentral:rRNA from 1 species
CCUACGGGAGGCAGCAGUAGGGAAUCUUCCGCAAUGGACGAAAGUCUGACGGAGCAACGCCGCGUGAACGAUGAAGGCCUUCGGGUCGUAAAGUUCUGUUGUUAGGGAAGAACAAGUGCUAGUUAAGUAAGCUGGCACCUUGACGGUACCUAACCAGAAAGCCACGGCUAACUACGUGCCAGCAGCCGCGGUAAUACGUAGGUGGCAAGCGUUGUCCGGAAUUAUUGGGCGUAAAGCGCGCGCAGGCGGUUUCUUAAGUCUGAUGUGAAAGCCCCCGGCUCAACCGGGGAGGGUCAUUGGAAACUGGGAAACUUGAGUGCAGAAGAGGAAAGUGGAAUUCCAAGUGUAGCGGUGAAAUGCGUAGAGAUUUGGAGGAACACCAGUGGCGAAGGCGACUUUCUGGUCUGUAACUGACGCUGAGGCGCGAAAGCGUGGGGAGCAAACAGGAUUAGAUACCCUGGUAGUCCACGCUGUAAACGAUGAGUGCUAAGUGUUAGAGGGUUUCCGCCCUUUAGUGCUGAAGUUACGCAUUAAGCACNCGCGNGGAGUACGGUCGCGAGACGAGAACGUAACUAAUAGUUAAGUUAGUAGGCGUUGAGACGNGCCGACGGACGACGACGAGGGAGGAGG